ensembl:lncRNA
AUGCUCAGUUUUGCGUUCCAGACGGCAGCGAUUGGGAGCGACUACUGGUACAUUAUUAAGGUCAAAAGGUGUUCUUUCACAUUUAACUCCUCCAGCUACUCUGAACCUGCGAUGCACAUGUUGAGUGUCCUGACCCUCUCCGGUGUCAGCCUGUACAUCAGCAACUCCGAGCAGGCACUGGCAGAGACCGAGAGUCUGGUGGGGGCUGAGCGUCUGGCCCAGGUGGUCAGCACCUCAUUCGAGCUGGUCCCUGGGCCUGGCUGUCCUUCUGCCUGGAGGUCCUCACUGGCCUGCUGCUGGCUGCCCACCCCACCCUCCAGAGCAGCUCACCGGGCCACGGCAUGCCCUCUGUCCUAACCCAAGAGCCAGGCCCUACAGAAGUGUCACAAGAACUGUACUUUCAAUUUUUAAAUUAUUUUUAUAUGCUCGUCUCUGGCACCACAAAUGAAUUUCCCUCUGGAGAAAUAAAGUUCUUUAUUACAUAUUUAUUCAUCCUAAAUGCAGUAUGUGGUUUAUAGUCUGUGGGUAAAACAGCUGUCAUUUAAUGCCAUCUUGUGGUCUGAUAAGUUACUACAUUUCAAUUGGCAAAGGCCCUCAAAUAUGAAAUUGCUUAUUGUGGUCCUAUAAUGUAGGAUGAGAAAUGAAACACCAGAAUUACUGGCCUCAACCACAUCAGUCUGAAUGGCUGUUAGCUGUCACAGGGUUGCAUUUUAGAACAUUGGCAAGUGAAGGGCUAUAUGAAUAGAUGUCCUCAAAGCUAAAGCCAUAGUAGAAAUGCCCAGAGCAGACUGAAGGUGCAUCUCAAUAGUCUGAAGAGGCUCCCUGUCCUUCAUCUGCACUGAUCUGCACAUUGAAAGUAGCUGAGAGCAAUGAAGUGGACAUGUCAGUGGACGUUAGUGUUCACCUAAUGAUUGAAGAGGCAAGAACUAAAGACCCUUUAUGUUACUUUGUCACGGUCAGUUAUUGCUGUGGAAACCACAACAUCCACCCGCAUAAGAGAAUAUACUGGAUUCAAUCCAAUCAGCAGUACACUACCGUUCAAACGUUUGAGGUCACUUGUCCUUGUUUUUGAAAGAAAAGGAAAAACAAUUGUCCAGUAAAAUAACAUCAAAUCAGAAAUACAGUGUAGACAUCGUUAAUGUUUUAAAUGACUAUUGUAGCUGGAAACGGCACAUUUUUUUAUGGAAUAUCUACAUAGGUGUACAGAGGUCCAUUAUCAGCAACCAUCACUCCUGUGUUCCAGUGGCAUGUUGUGUUAGCUAAUCCAGGUUUAUCAUUUUAAAAGGCUAAUUGAUUAUUAGAAAACUAUUUUGCAAUUAUGUUAGCACAGAUGAAAACUGUUGUGCUAAUUAAAGAAGCAAUAAUACUGGCCUUUUGAGUAGUUGAGUAUCUGGAGCAUCAGCAUUUGUGGGUUCGAUUACAGGCUCAAAAUGUCCAGAAACAAAUAACUUUCUUCUGAAACGUAUUAGUCUAUUCUUGUUGUCCACAUUUCCAUGUUAAUUAUUUAUUUGCUUAUCUAUUGUUUACCUACUACCUAUUUUUUUCUUAAAAAUUACACUGUUUGUAUUUGCCACGAAACUGAAAAUCUCAUACAACGCUGUGUAUUACUCCCUUCACAGAACAGUGCAAACUGUCUAAACAGAAUAGAAAGAGGAGUGAGAGGCCCCGGUGCACAACUGAGCAAGAGGACAAGUACAUUAGAGUGUCUAGUUUGAGAAACAGACGCCUCACCAGUCCUCAACUGGCAGCUUCAUUAAAUAGUACCCGCAAAUCACCAAUCUCAACAUCAACAGUAAAGAAGCGACUCCGGGAUGUUGGUCUUCUAGGCAGAGUUGCAAAGAAAAAGCCAUAUCUCAGACUGGCCAAUAAAAAUAAAAUAUUAAUAUGGGCAAAAGAACACAGACACUGGACAGAGGAAGAUUGGAAAAAAAGUGUUAUGGACAGAUGAAUCUAAGUUUGAGGAGUUCGGAUCACAAAGAAGAACAUUUGUGAGACGCAGAACAAAUGACAUUACGCUGGAGGAGUGCUUGACACCAUCUGUCAAGCAUGGUGGAGGAAAUCUGAUGGUCUGGGGGUGCUUUGGUGGUGGUGAAGUGGGAGAUUUGUACAGGGUAAAGGGAUAUUGAAGAAGGAAGGCUAUCACUCCAUUUUGCAACGCCAUGCCAUACCCUGUGGACUGCACUUAAUUGGAGCCAAUUUCCUCCUACAACAGGCCAAUGACCCAAAGCACAGCUCCAAACUAUGCAAUAACUAUUUAGGAAGAAGCAGUCAGCUGGUAUUCUCUCUAUAAUGAGUGGCCAGCACAGUCACCGGAUCUCAACCCUAUUGAGCUGUUGUGGGAGCAGCUUGACCUUAUGGUAAAUAAGAAGUACCCAUCAAGCCAAUCCAACUUGUGGGAGGUGCUUCGGGAAGCAUGGGGUGAAAUCUCUUCAGAUUAUCUCAACAAAUUGACAACUAGAAUGCCAAAGGUCUGCAAGGGUGUAAUUGCUGCAAAUUGAGAAUUCUUUGACGAAGGCAAAGGACACAAUUAUUAUU